rnacentral:misc_RNA from 1 species
AAGUCGUAACAAGGUUUCCGUAGGUGAACCUGCGGAAGGAUCAUUAUCGAGUUCGGGGACUUAUUGUCCACGCCCUCCAACCCUUUGUCUACCUGACCAGAUGUUGCUUCGGCAGGCCCGUCGCCCCGCGAGGGGUGGCCGCCGGGGGUCCUUACCGGCCCCGGGUCCGCGCCUGUCGAUGGCCCUCUUAUAAACUCUUGCUUCAACCGUGUCGUCUGAGUAAAACAAACAAAUAAAAACAAAACUUUCAACAACGGAUCUCUUGGUUCUG